GAAGUUGAUUGAGCAGUCGCUUUUAUUUAUAUGUUAUGUAAAAGAGGAAAGUCCGGACUCCAUAGGAUUAUGGUGCCAGGUAAUACCUGGGAAGUGUAAACUUACGAAAAGUGCAACAGAAAAAAUACCGCCAUAAUAAAAAAUUAUGGUAAGGGUGAAAAGGUAUGGUAAAAGCAUACCGAUAUAUUAGUAAUAAUAUAUGACAAUGUAAACUCCACCAGGAGCAAGGCUAAAUAAGGUUUGUAUUAAUCCGUACUGUUAUAAAACCUAGGUGAGCUGCUUAAAAAUAAUAAGUGAUUAUUAUAAUAGAUAAAUGACUGUUCAAGACAGAAUCCGGCUUAUAGAUCAACUUUAUUA
rnacentral:RNase_P_RNA from 1 species